AGAGUUUGAUCCUGGCUCAGGAUGAACGCUGGCGGCGUGCCUAACACAUGCAAGUCGAGCGAUUUACUUCGGUAAAGAGCGGCGGACGGGUGAGUAACGCGUGGGUAACCUGCCCUGUACACACGGAUAACAUACCGAAAGGUAUGCUAAUACGAGAUAAAAUACUUUUAUCGCAUGGUAGAAGUAUCAAAGCUUUUGCGGUACAGGAUGGACCCGCGUCUGAUUAGCUAGUUGGUAAGGUAACGGCUUACCAAGGCGACGAUCAGUAGCCGACCUGAGAGGGUGAUCGGCCACAUUGGAACUGAGACACGGUCCAAACUCCUACGGGAGGCAGCAGUGGGGAAUAUUGCACAAUGGGCGAAAGCCUGAUGCAGCAACGCCGCGUGAGCGAUGAAGGCCUUCGGGUCGUAAAGCUCUGUCCUCAAGGAAGAUAAUGACGGUACUUGAGGAGGAAGCCCCGGCUAACUACGUGCCAGCAGCCGCGGUAAUACGUAGGGGGCUAGCGUUAUCCGGAAUUACUGGGCGUAAAGGGUGCGUAGGUGGUUUCUUAAGUCAGAGGUGAAAGGCUACGGCUCAACCGUAGUAAGCCUUUGAAACUGGGGAACUUGAGUGCAGGAGAGGAGAGUGGAAUUCCUAGUGUAGCGGUGAAAUGCGUAGAUAUUAGGAGGAACACCAGUUGCGAAGGCGGCUCUCUGGACUGUAACUGACACUGAGGCACGAAAGCGUGGGGAGCAAACAGGAUUAGAUACCCUGGUAGUCCACGCCGUAAACG
rnacentral:rRNA from 1 species